CCCAUAGACCACUACGCCUGGAACGGUGAGUGGUUGAAAGCUCAGGCGGUGUAGGAUGGGUCUGCGGCGUAUCAGGUCGUAGGGGGUGUAAUGGACCUCCUAGCCAUCGACGCGUACGGGUUGUGGGAGCAAUAGCCCGGAGACGGAUUCUGAGACACGAAUCCGGACCCUACGGGGUGCAGCAGGCGCGAAAACUUCACACUGCAGGAAACUGUGAUGAGGGAACUCCAAGUGACUGCACAUUGUGUAGCCUUUUCUUGAAUCUUAAUAGUUCUUGGAAUAAGGGCUGGGAAAGACCGGUGCCAGCCGCCGCGGUAAUACCGGCAGCUCGAGUGGUCGUCGCUUUUAUUGGGCCUAAAACGUCCGUAGCCUGUUUGGUAAAUCUGUGGGUAAAUCAACGAGCUCAACUCGUUGAAUUCUGCAGAGACUGCCAGACUAGGGACCGGGAGAGGUAUGAGGUACUCUGGGGGUAGGGGUAAAAUCCUGUCAUCCUCAGAGGACCACCUGUUGCGAAGGCGUCAUACUGGAACGGAUCCGACGGUCAGGGACGAAGCCUAGGGGCACGAACCGGAUUAGAUACCCGGGUAGUCCUAGGUGUAAACGCUGUGGAUUUGGUGUGUGGGGUCCGCAAUGGGCCCCAUGUGCCGGAGUGAAGAUGUUAAAUCCACUGCCUGGGGAGUACGGUCGCAAGGCUGAAACUUAAAGGAAUUGGCGGGGGAGCACUGCAACGGGAGGAGCGUGCGGUUUAAUUGGACUCAACGCCGGGA
rnacentral:rRNA from 1 species